AACUUUGUCCAAAAGUAAUCCACCGCAAUAGACAGUACGACAGCCGAGCGGGGACUUUGAUCGAAAACGCCGGGGAAUUGUUCUAAUUUCCUUGUUGGAGGUCGGGUCUCUACUUCUACUCGCGCUUGCUUCGUGAUAGGCGUGUGGGGAGAUGAACGUUGCCAUUCAUAAGAACCCGGGAGGACUACAAGCAUGAUACUUGGGUGUCAGAGAAUGGCUAUAUUU
rnacentral:snoRNA from 1 species